rnacentral:lncRNA from 1 species
UCCCCAAUUAAGUCCUUACAAGUGCUAAUUUGAAUCAAUUGAGUUCCUACCAUUAAAUUGGCUUAACGAUGUUAACUUUUUGAUGAGCUGGAACGUUGACGUGGCCAGUUUUUGCCACAUCACUCCUGUCACGUCAGCAUCAUCUUCCUCAACGACAAAGCACCAUCUUCCUCAACAACAUUUUAAAAAUUUUUAAAAAAGUCAUCUUCCAUUACAACACCACCCAGAACCAUCAUCAUCUUCCUCGUGCACCAUCAACCUACAAUCAAGUAACCACAAAAUAAAAAUCGUGACUCCGCCAUGUUCGCUUUAAUUCAUCUCCUUCCAUCCAACACUGCGAGGGCAAGUCGCCACCAUGGCCAAUGUAACCAACGCUCAAGCUCUUCG